CGGGAAUUGCUCGCAGCUUGGUAGCGAGGUUCGUUUGGAACGAAGCGGUCGGAGGUUCAAAUCCUCCAUUCCCGACCA
rnacentral:tRNA from 1 species